CGGAAUGUAGCUCAGCUUGGUAGAGCGCUUGGUUCGGGACCAAGAGGUCGCAGGUUCAAAUCCUGUCAUUCCGA
rnacentral:tRNA from 1 species